rnacentral:rRNA from 1 species
UGGGGAAUAUUGCACAAUGGGCGCAAGCCUGAUGCAGCCAUGCCGCGUGUAUGAAGAAGGCCUUCGGGUUGUAAAGUACUUUCAGCGGGGAGGAAGGGAGUAAAGUUAAUACCUUUGCUCAUUGACGUUACCCGCAGAAGAAGCACCGGCUAACUCCGUGCCAGCAGCCGCGGUAAUACGGAGGGUGCAAGCGUUAAUCGGAAUUACUGGGCGUAAAGCGCACGCACGCGGUUUGUUAAGUCAGAUGUGAAAUCCCCGGGCUCAACCUGGGAACUGCAUCUGGUACUGGCAAGCUUGAGUCUCGUAGAGGGGGGUAGAAUUCCAGGUGUAGCGGUGAAAUGCGUAGAGAUCUGGAGGAAUACCGGUGGCGAAGGCGGCCCCCUGGACGAAGACUGACGCUCAGGUGCGAAAGCGUGGGGAGCAAACAGG